rnacentral:rRNA from 1 species
AAUGAACGUUGGCGGCAUGGAUUAGGCAUGCAAGUCGAGCGCGAAGAGUCAUUUGCUUGCAUUUGACUCUGAAAGCGGCGGAAGGGAGAGUAAUACGUGGGAAUCUGCCCUUAGACCUGGGAUAGCAGCGGGAAACUGCUGGUAAUACCAGAUAAUGGCUAUGGACCAAAGGUGUGCUUCAGUCUAGGGAUGAGCCCACGUCCUAGUAGCUAGUUGGUAGGGUAAUGGCCUACCAAGGAGAUGAUGGGUAGCGGGUGUGAGAGCAUGCCCCGCCUCACUGGGACUGAGACACUGCCCAGACACCUACGGGUGGCUGCAGUCGAGAAUCUUCGGCAAUGGGCGCAAGCCUGACCGAGCGAUGCCGCGUGCGGGAUGAAGGCCUUCGGGUUGUAAACCGCUGUCGAGGGGGAGCAACUUCCAUAGAGUUAUCUUUAUGGAUUGAGUGAUCCCUGGAGGAAGGACGGGCUAAGUUCGUGCCAGCCGCCGCGGUAACAC